UCGCCCGAAGCCCAAGCCCAUUCUGUUUGCCGUGCCGCCCGAGUCCACCGAUAGAAUCAAUCAAAACUUUCAACAACGGAUCUCUUGGUUCUGGCAUCGAUAAAGAACGCAGCGAAAUGCGAUAAGUAAUGUGAAUUGCAGAAUUCAGUGAAUCAUCGAAUCUUUGAACGCACAUUGCGCCCCUUGGUAUUCCGGGGGGCAUGCCUGUUCGAGCGUCAUUGCAACCCUCAAGCUCUGCUUGGUAUUGGGCGCCGUGGCCUCCUUCCGGGGGGGCGGCGCGCCCGUAAGUUAGUGGCGGUCCAGGGAGACUUCAGCGCAGUAGAACCUUUCGCUUUCGAGGUGUCGCCUGCGGCCCGGCCGUAAACCCCCCAUUCUUUCAAUGAUGACCUCGGACAGGUAGGGAUCCCGCUGAAUUAAGCUAUCAUAAGCGGAGGAA
rnacentral:rRNA from 1 species